CCUGACUCAGAGGGUUCAACAAAGAGAGAAGAGCCAGGAAAUAAAACAUUGAGGUGUUUUAUUCUACUAACUGGACCAACAUUGAAUUCUCAUAUUGGCAUGAUGGAUCACCUUAAAAAACAAAUACCAGCUCUGCAAGUGGUACGGACAGAGGAGGAGUGUGAUUUCAUUAUGGUCUUCUGCCCUGUCAUUAGAGGACAUGCAAUUGAUAUUCAAGCAGCGCAGGAGAAACUUAAUAAAUUUCAGACAACAAACCUGCUGUUCUAGUGGUGCUCCAUCACACGUUUGAUCCAGAGUGUGUUGUACCAGACAGCAGCAGAGCUGUACACAGAGAGAAUA